rnacentral:rRNA from 1 species
AGUUCGGAUUGUAGGCUGCAACUCGCCUACAUGAAGUCGGAGUUGCUAGUAAUCGCGGAUCAGAAUGCCGCGGUGAAUGCGUUCCCGGGUCUUGUACACACCGCCCGUCACACCAUGGAAGUUGGGGGCGCCCGAAGUUGGUCGGGAAAUAGAUUACCUAAGGCGAAACCAAUGACUGGGGUGAAGUCGUAACAAGGUAUC